UACGGAGGGUGCAAGCGUUAUCCGGAUUCACUGGGUUUAAAGGGUGCGUAGGUGGGUUGAUAAGUCAGUGGUGAAAUCCCCGAGCUUAACUUGGGAACUGCCAUUGAUACUAUUGAUCUUGAAUACCGUGGAGGUCAGCGGAAAUAUGUCAUGAGCGGUGAAAUGCUUAGAUAUGACAUAGAACACCAAUUGCGAAGGCAGCUGGCUAA
rnacentral:rRNA from 1 species